GCCGGGGUGGCCGAGCGGCCCAAGGCGCGGGACUUGAGAUCCCGUCCCCGACCAGGGGGCGUGGGUUCAAAUCCCACCCCCGGCGCCA
rnacentral:tRNA from 1 species